rnacentral:RNase_P_RNA from 2 species
CUCGAAGGUCGGAUGAUCGCUUUUAAAAUUUUAAAAGAGGAAAGUCCGGGCUCCACGGAAAGAGGAUGCUGGAUAACGUCCAGCGAGGGUAACCUUAGGGAAAGUGCCACAGAAAAUAUACCGCCAGCUAAGCUGGUAAGGGUGAAAUGGUGCGGUAAGAGCGCACCGCGCUUUUGGUGACAAAGGCGGCAGGGUAAACCCCAUCCGGAGCAAGACCAAAUAGGGACGAUACUUAGGACAACCUAAAGGCGCCUUUCCGCGUUAUCGUCCGGGUAGGUCGCGUGAAGCUUUUGGUAACAAAAGUUCCAGAUGAAUGAUCAUCCCUGGUAAUCCCAGGACAGAACCCGGCUUAUAGACCUUCGAGCUUU